UCUAUCCCUCUGUUAAUGCAGCCUAGCACUGUGUUGGCCUUUUUGACAGCUGCAGCACACGGCUGGCUCAUAUUUAGGUGAUUGUCUACUAGGACUCCGAGGUCCCUAACAAAACCUCAGUAAAGUUAUUUCAAGAAUUGUGAAUCAAAAGAAAAAUCAAUGGCAUAUUUAUCUUUAUCAAGAUCCAGGCUGUGCUGAUAUUAAGUCAUCAGACAAAGUCAUUCUUAUUCUAAGUUGUAUUUAAAUGGUAUUCAAAAUGGUAUUUAACUUGAGAAAAAAUAAUCUUAAGAAUUUUUUUUCUGCUUCUUUCCAAGAUCUUAGUGAAAAGCUUAAAUCUGAUUUUAUACUAUUUCUGCCCAAGCAACUACAUUAGCUGGAAGACAUCAGUGGCAAAGUAAUCACUACAAUAAAUAAAUAAACCGAAAGGGAAGAAUGAGACUGUGUGAAAUUAUAGAAUUAUAGCACAAAUUAUAGCAAAUUAUAGCACAAAGUCCAGAAGCAGUAUCCAAGUACAAACAAAAGUACUUAUAUUCUUUUCUUUUAUCAAAACUGUCAGUUUAGCCAUCUCUGCUAACUCCAUCAGCUUUUGUAACCGUUCAUCCAAGAUGGGAAUGGAAGCAUCCUUCCAGGAAUUCCAGGAUUCCUAGGACUACAGCAAGUUUUCUCUGACCACACAGAUCCAUCUCUGCUGAUCUCCUGCAGCAGCUCAAAUAAAUCAGCCAUUAACCCAGGUUUGAAGUCUGACUCAAAGAUGAAUUAGCUGACAGGAAUGCAAGGAAAAGAAAUGCGAACAGCAGAUAAAGGAUCUUCAUGCUGAGACUGGUUCUGGACAAAAUCUUACUCCUUGGACAGACUUGGCUCUCUAUUUAUGGAGUUGUAAUGAUUGCAUCAUAUCACCUCAGUGAACUGUUGCAAAAUAGUUCUUACCUAAGGCAACGGUGCAUCUUCCUUGUAUUGAAACACUCCUGUUUGUUAGCUGUUACAAAAGCCCUGAGAAGAGCAGCAGACUUAGUUGAACAUCUAACCUGCUAUGGCUAUAAAAGAUGGGAGGCUCAGGACUUGCAGUGUCUGAAUGGGUCAAAGAAAAUUCCUUACUGAAUUGCUGCCCAAACUCUACAGUCCACGAUGAUAAUGCUCGGCCAGGUUCACCAAUGGCUGGACUAUGGGAAGAGCCCUUAGAAAGUCUCAACAUCUUUUUUUACAUUGUGGUGACCAAAACUGGAGGCAGAAGUCCAAGUGUGGCCUUACCACUCCUUAUUAGGAGUCCUGUGAGACACAGAAGAUCAACUGAAAUUGAGAAGGAGAACUGGGUUCCAAAAGCUGUCAGUAUGAGAAUUGCUUCAGAGGCUCUGAGUGAUAAAAGUCAAUUCCCUUUUUUCCAUCCGAUGCUCCCCAAAGAAGGGAUCCAGUAUCCAGGAAUUGUCCAAAUUCUCCUCCAUUUUGGAUGGACCCUGAUUGGUCUCUUUGCAACAGACACAGAGUAGGGAGAAAAUUUCAUGAGAAAUUUUAAUCCUAUGCUUGUCAAGAAUAGAAUUUGUGUUGCUAUUUCACAACAAUUCUCAAUGACUGGACAUACCCCAUUCCUCAGGGACGCCCUCUCUAAGUGGAGACAAGUCAACGUCUUUGUUAACUUCAUAGAAUUUGAUUCCCUUUUGGACAGUAUUCUUCCCAUCCAUUCAGCACUUGAAAGUUUGCCAGGACCCAUUGAAGGGAAAGUCUGGAUCAUGACCGUGGCUGCAGUAUUUUCAAUUAAAAAAGAUUGGUGUCUCAAGCACGUCCACAGUAUUUGGAGUUUUCCCUGUCAGUGGAAAGAGAGUUGGAAAUAUGAUAAUGCCUUUAAAAGAGAUUUCUUUGUGGAACCUGAAUUUCAAGCUGAGUAUUUUCACUGUUCUGUUUCAAAACACACCUUUUCUGUCAAAGGCCGGAGAAGAUGCACCCAGAAAGCACCAGUGGAGUCCCAAGAGAAAACGAAUAGGAUGCAGAUCGCAAAUCCUUUCAUUACUUACAGUGUCAUAAAGAUUCUGGCCCACGCCUUAAGUGCUGCAUCCCAACCCCAGAGGAGAAGGAAGAAGGGUGAAGAGAGGUUGGGGGCUCCAAGGCUGCAACUAUGGAAGUUCCAUCCAUUUCUAAAGAAGAGGGAAUUGUACAAUCUUUCCCUGCUGAAAGUGUACUUGGAUCAGAAUGAAAACGUAGUAGCAGAUCUUGAGUAGGGUGGUUCUUCCCAAGGAGGAUCCCAUCAACAAGCAAUUGGGGAUUUUUGAAAGACAGAGACUUACAAUCAACCAAGAUGCUUUGUCACAGUUAAAGUUGCUCAACAAGACUUUGUUAAGUAGAAAGCUACUUUUUUGUAAUCUGAUAUGUCAGAAGAAAAAGGGACG